CUUAUCAUUCUUGUGGGGGAUACAGAUUAUUUAUAAAAAUUGGUUGUGUUUCAGAUGAUCUCUUAGAUCCCACCAUAGAGAGUGGUAAUAAAAGUGUCCCAUUAGAUCCUGCCAGUGAAGAAAGGAGAGGAACGGUUUUGCCCUGUCUCUUGACUUGGGUUCGCCUGGGUGCAUGAUUUCACACAACCCAGAGCAGAGAGGCUCACAGGCGGGGCGAGACAGGCAAGCCCCGGUGCUUUUGUCUGGCUGUGCUGUGGUACAGUUGAGGCAAACCUACACUUUCACAGCAGGAUUUGCCAGGAGUUAAUAUUUUAUGCUGUAACUUGAAACACCUGUGUUGAAAUCAUAAGCAUUUUGGUGCCUGUAAUUCCAAAAGUAUAUGGUUCUAACCAACUGUAAAACUUCAGGUGAGGGUUGGACAACAAGGAGAUAAUUACUGGAUUCAACAAGAAGCAGGGUGUUAAGCCACUCAAAGGAAAAGUGGUUUUGACUUGGCAUCUUCCAAUUCACUACUUAGAAAUAACCUACUAGAAUUUGCAAGUCCAUUCUUAGAAAUAACCUACUGUGGGCAUAUAGAAAAAAAGUUUGGACUUUUGAUUUUCAGAACCCUUCAAAGGGUAUACAGGAUGCUGGUA
rnacentral:lncRNA from 1 species